rnacentral:rRNA from 1 species
AUGUACUCUUUUCUUGAAAAAAGCAUUUCAGGCUGUGGCUAUCAAUGGAUAUGGAAAGCCCGCAUUCCUUUGAAAAUAUAAAUUUUAAUGUGGCAAUUGGCACAUGAUGCGGUGCUGACCAGAGAUGUGAUGAAACGUCGGGGUUGGAAAGGAGAGCCAAAAUGCUCGUUUUGCAAGGAAAGAGAAACUUCCCAUCAUCUGUUCUUUACAUGUCCGGUUGCCAGGGUGACAUGGAGAGUUGUGGCAUGCGUGUUUGGUACCGAUCUAUGUCCGGAUAACAUAUGGCAGGCGUAUGCGUGGUGCUACACUUUUUUUCCUGAUGGAGAGGUUUUUUAUACAACAGGCAUUGCAACAAUUUGCUGGGCAAUAUGGACUUGUCAUAACAAAGCUACUUUUGAAUGCAUACCUCUUAAAUCUCCAUUUGAAUGCAUCUUCUCUGCUUGUGCUCUUCUAUGCUAUUGGGCAGGUCUGAUGAAACAGGAGGAUGCGGCGGAUCUGAGGGCUAGAGGGAUCAUUCUGAAGAGCAACGCUUCUCGACUGAUGCGGAUCUGUGUUGCCGCAUAUCAGGAUGAGGAAGCCCGCUGA